GAUGAACGCUGGCGGCGUGCCUAAUACAUGCAAGUAGAACGCUGAAGGAGGAGCUUGCUCUUCUGGAUGAGUUGCGAACGGGUGAGUAACGCGUAGGUAACCUGCCUGGUAGCGGGGGAUAACUAUUGGAAACGAUAGCUAAUACCGCAUGACAACAGUUAUUGCAUGAUAACUGUUUAAAAGGGGCAACUGCUCCACUACCAGAUGGACCUGCGUUGUAUUAGCUAGUUGGUGAGGUAACGGCUCACCAAGGCGACGAUACAUAGCCGACCUGAGAGGGUGAUCGGCCACACUGGGACUGAGACACGGCCCAGACUCCUACGGGAGGCAGCAGUAGGGAAUCUUCGGCAAUGGACGGAAGUCUGAACGAGCAACGCCGCGUGAGUGAAGAAGGUUUUCGGAUCGUAAAGCUCUGUUGUAAGGGAAGAAAGAGUGUGAGAGUGGAAAGUUCACACUGUGACGGUAUCUUACCAGAAAGGGACGGCUAACUACGUG
rnacentral:rRNA from 1 species